rnacentral:rRNA from 1 species
AUUGAACGCUGGCGGCAGGCCUAACACAUGCAAGUCGAGCGAGCGGCGGACGGGUGAGUAAUGUCUGGGAAACUGCCUGAUGGAGGGGGAUAACUACUGGAAACGGUAGCUAAUACCGCAUACCAUCAGAUGUGCCCAGAUGGGAUUAGCUAGUAGGUGGGGUAACGGCUCCCCUUGGCGACGAUCCCUAGCUGGUCUGAGAGGAUGACCAGCCACAAGGGAACUGAGACAAGGUCCAGACUCCUACGGGAGGCAUCCGUGGGUAAUAUUGCACAAGUGGCGCAAGCCUGAUGCAGCCAUGCCGCGUGUGUGAAGAAGGCCUGCGGGUUGUAAAGCACUGUCAGCGGGGAGGCGUUACCCGCAGAAGAAGCACCGGCUAACUCCGUGCCAGCAGCCGCGGUAAUAC